AAUUAUGAAAAAAAGAAAUUAUUUUAUUGGUUGUUUGUAGAAUAGCGACUAUAUUAAUUAAUUGUAAUUUCUGUAUUGCGAAUUGAAUUGAUAUAAUCCAUGUAUCGCGUUCUAAAUUAACGUACCAACUAAGUUUACCCCCUGCGUACCAUAUAUUUAGCUAAGCGGUGAAUCGCGUACCCGUAUUACGAUCCAAGACGUUCCGUGUUCAAAGUAACUAUGUUCAGGAGUCAAUGCUACUUAUUUAAGAUUAAAGCAGUAUUUUUUUUCUUGGCCAAGAAUGCUCAAAGACGUUAUGAUAUGGGUGAAGGGCUGUGAUACUUGUGCGAGGUGUAACCGUGUAAGGGAGAGACUUGUGCAUAUCUAGGAUUAUUGCAGCCUCUUCCAAUUCCAACACAGGCAUGGCAAGAGAUGUCCAUGGAUUUUAUUGAAGGACUUCCUAAGUCCAAGGGGAAGGAUACAAUCUUGGUGGUUGUGUGUAGAUUGACUAAAGUGGGUAAUUUUCUUCCUCUGUCUCAUCCUUAUUCAGCUGCUGCAGUAGAUACUGUCCUUAAGCUUCAUGGUAUUCCUCAAGUAAUAGUUUUUAUUAGCCUAUUUUGGCAGGACCUGUUCAAGUGUGUUGGAAUUAAAUUGGCUUUCAGUUCUGCAUACCUUUCACAGUCAAAUGGGCAGACUGAGAGAGUCAAUCAAUGCAUUGAAGCUUAUUUGAGGUGUAUGGUGCAUUUG
rnacentral:misc_RNA from 1 species